CAUAACGUCGCAAGACCAAAGAGGGGGACCUUCGGGCCUCUUGCCAUCGGAUGUGCCCAGAUGGGAUUAGCUAGUAGGUGGGGUAACGGCUCACCUAGGCGACGAUCCCUAGCUGGUCUGAGAGGAUGACCAGCCACACUGGAACUGAGACACGGUCCAGACUCCUACGGGAGGCAGCAGUGGGGAAUAUUGCACAAUGGGCGCAAGCCUGAUGCAGCCAUGCCGCGUGUAUGAAGAAGGCCUUCGGGUUGUAAAGUACUUUCAGCGGGGAGGAAGGGAGUAAAGUUAAUACCUUUACUCAUUGACGUUACCCGCAGAAGAAGCACCGGCUAACUCCGUGCCAGCAGCCGCGGUAAUACGGAGGGUGCAAGCGUUAAUCGGAAUUACUGGGCGUAAAGCGCACGCAGGCGGUUUGUUAAGUCAGAUGUGAAAUCCCCGGGCUCAACCUGGGAACUGCAUCUGAUACUGGCAAGCUUGAGUCUCGUAGAGGGGGGUAGAAUUCCAGGUGUAGCGGUGAAAUGCGUAGAGAUCUGGAGGAAUACCGGUGGCGAAGGCGGCCCCCUGGACGAAGACUGACGCUCAGGUGCGAAAGCG
rnacentral:rRNA from 1 species